CAACCUCAACUCAUAUGGGACUACCCCCUGAAUUUAAGCAUAUUAAUUAGGGGAGGAAAAGAAACUAACAAGGAUUUUCUUAGUAGCGGCGAGCGAAAAGAAAUCAGUUCAGCACUAAGUCACUUUGUCUAUAUGGCAAAUGUGAGAUGCAGUGUACGGAACAUCAACAUUCUAGUAUGAGAAGUUAACGAUUUAAGUCCUUCUUAAAUGAGGCCAUUUACCCAUAGAGGGUGCCAGGCCCGUAUAACGUUAAUGAUUACUAGAUGGUGUUUCCAAAGAGUCGUGUUGCUUGAUAGUGCAGCACUGUGGGUGGUAAACUCCAUCUAAAACUAAAUAUAACCAUGAGACCGAUAGUAAACAAGUACCGUGAGGGAAAGUUGAAAAGAACUCUGAAUAGAGAGUUAAAUAGUACGUGAAACUGCUUAGAGGUUAAGCCCGAUGAACCUGAAUAUCCGUUAUGGAAAAUUCAUCAUUAGAAUUGUAAUAUUUUAAACAAUAUUAUAAUAAUAGUGUGCAUUUUUUCCAUAUAAGGACAUUGUAAUCUAUUAGCAUAAAUAUUUAUCAUAAAAUUAUGUCUGAUUGCUUAUUUGAAUUAUAUGCUUGGCAUUUUAACAUAAAAUAAAAGAUAUAAAUUUGAUAAAGUGCUGAUAGAUUUAUAUGAUUACAGUGCGUUAAUUUUUCGGAAUUAUAUAAUGGCAUAAUUAUCAUUGAUAUUUGUGUUUAUUAUAUGCAUUUGUAUGAUUAACAAUGCGAAAGAUUCAGGAUACCUUCGGGA
rfam:Drosophila virilis strain TSC#15010-1051.87 Ctg01_3061, whole genome shotgun sequence.